UACGAAGGGGGCUAGCGUUGUUCGGAAUUACUGGGCGUAAAGCGCGCGCAGGCGGUCUUCCAAGUCAGUGGUGAAAGCCUGGAGCUCAACUCCAGAACUGCCAUUGAAACUGUUAGACUUGAGUACGAGAGAGGUGAGUGGAAUUCCCGGUGUAGCGGUGAAAUGCGCAGAUAUCGUAAGGAAGACCAGUGGCGAAGGCGGGUCUCUGGACAGUUCCUGACGCUGAGGCACGAAGGUCAGGGGAGCAAACGGG
rnacentral:rRNA from 1 species